UACGUAGGGUGCAAGCGUUAAUCGGAAUUACUGGGCGUAAAGCGUGCGCAGGCGGUUAUGCAAGACAGAUGUGAAAUCCCCGGGCUCAACCUGGGAACUGCAUUCGAGACUGCGUAGCUAGGGUGCGGAAGAGGGAAGCGGAAUUUCCGGUGUAGCGGUGAAAUGCGUAGAUAUCGGAAGGAACACCAGUGGCGAAAGCGGCUUCCUGGUCCAGCACCGACGUUCAGGCACGAAAGCGUGGGGAGCAAACAGG
rnacentral:rRNA from 1 species